rnacentral:rRNA from 1 species
GAUGAACGCUGGCGGCGUGCCUAAUACAUGCAAGUCGAGCGAACGGACGCGGAGCUUGCUUUUCUGAUGUUAGCCGCGGGCGGGUGAGUAACGCGUGGAUAACCUACCUAUCAGACUGAGAUAACUUCGAAAAACCGGCGCUAAUCCCGGAUAAUAUUUUGCACCGCGUUGUUCAAUGGUGAGAGACGGUCUUGCUGUCUCGUAUAGAUGGAUCCGCGCUGCAUUAGCUGGUUGGUAAGGUAAAGGCUUACCAAGGCAACGAUGCAUAGCCGACCUGAGAGGGGGAUAGGCGACAUUGGAAGUGAGACACGGUCCAGACUACUACGGGAGGCAGCAGUAGGGAACCUUACGCAAUGGGCGAAAGCCUGACGGAGCAACGGCGCGUGAGUGAUGAAGGUGUUCGGAGCGUAAAACUGUGUUAUUAGGGAAGAACAUAUGUGGCAGGAACUGUGCACAUCUUGACGGUAACUAAUCAGAAAGCCACGGCUAACUACGUG